rnacentral:misc_RNA from 1 species
AAAGAAUCAACUUGUUUUUUCCUUUUUUCGCAGUCGUUGUGAAGUUCCUCGUAAGCACGGAGACGUUCGUCGAGCAGCAGGGUCUUCUCUUUAACAAUUCUAUCUUUUUCGAGCAGUUCACUUUUAUGCUGUUGAGAGAUAGUCUCCCACUUGAAGACUUGUUCCUCCAAUUGCCUAACUUUUUCCCUCAGCUGAUCGAUGUCUCUAUUUCGUUCGUCGACCAAUCCUUCCCUGAGCUGUACCUCCGACUCGAGGCGUUCCUUCAACUGGUCUCUUUCACCUUCCAAUUCCAAGGCCCAGGAGGAGGACCGGUGAGUCGGCGAGAGGCGCACCAUUUAGUUGGAGCCGGGACAGGAAGCUGCCUGAAAAUACACCCGACCUCCGCACAAAAAAGGUGGAAAAGUUAUUCUCGAUGUACUUCGAAGGGUCGUGAAAC